AGGCCUUMGGGUUGUAAAGCACUUUCAGCGAGGAGGAAAGGUUAGUAGUUAAUACCYGCUAGCUGUGACGUUAGUCGCAGAAGAAGCACCGGCUAACUCCGUGCCAGCAGCCGCGGUAAUGCGGAGGGUGCGAGCGUUAAUCGGAAUUACUGGGCGUAAAGCGUGCGCAGGCGGUUUGUUAAGCGAGAUGUGAAAGCCCCGGGCUCAACCUGGGAACCGCAUUUAGAACUGGCAAACUAGAGUCUUGUAGAGGGGGGUAGAAUUCCAGGUGUAGCGGUGAAAUGCGUAGAGAUCUGGAGGAAUACCGGUGGCGAAGGCGGCCCCCUGGACAAAGACUGACGCUCAGGCACGAAAGCGUGGGGAGCAAACAGGAUUAGAUACCCUGGUAGUCCACGCCGUAAACGAUGUCUACUCGGAGUUUGGUGUCUU
rnacentral:rRNA from 1 species